CCGGCGCCGGGCGGUUCCCGCUCACCUGCCCGGCUCCUGCGCGGGACUGCAGGGAGGAGGGUGGGUGUCCCCUGCAGGGAGACCCGGCGGUGGAGAGACAGGGGGAAGAGGAGGAGGAGCAGGGAGCCUCAGCGCAGAUCAACUUCUGCUAUUUGCAGCUUCCCUGAAUAGCCCAUAAAGUGUACUGAGAGCAGUCUUCUAAAAAGAGAGAGGCAGGUUGGAAAGCUUUGUAAGAGACGUGGGAGUGGGAGGAUGCUGCCUGCAUGAGUCUGUGGUGGUGCAGGAGGAGGGCAAAACCUGCUCUGCUUUUGAAAGUCACAACAUGCUGUUCCACAAGAUUGUCACUAAGAUCUCUCCAACAGAUUCUCCAUGGGAACUGAUGUGCACCUGAUUUCGAUGCAGACACCAAAAGCUACAAUUUGGGAAUGGAGAGCAAACUCAUUGCAUCAUGUGAAGAUAUUUGAGAGAGGAAGCCUAGUCAGCACUUUGGACUCUUUUUGCCUCAUCAGUAGUUGAGCUCAGCAGCUGAACCAAAGCCUGGACUGCAGUUCAUGAGAAGCAGGAAGGCCAGUCCAUACAUGUCUAUUAAUAAUUUGCUGCCAGGACAUGAAAAUACUGAUUCUGUGUGCAGGUCACUUUUCUACAGCCUCCACAGGCCUUCUUAAAAGCUAAUGUGAGUCAUCAUCAGUUGUCGAUGCAUAUGUACUGACAAGAGUGGGUAUUUGCACAUCCCAUUUCCUGAGAGUCCAAAGAAGCUCCUGCAUGCUCAGCUUCACGUGAAUAAAGGACAUGGCAGAGAAGGAAUGAAGACAGCACCCUUUUUUCCAGGCUUUUUUCCUGCCCUUUCCUUUAACAUGGACAGCUUUACAGAUGGGAAAUGUUUCAUCUGACCUUGGAUGCCAUAGAAAUCAUCAAUAGUUCAUUACAGAAUGAAAUAGAAUAAGUAUUACAUUCUUAAACCCCCACCCAUGCCCUCUGAAUACUGAAUUAGAUUUUAUUUAAGUUCCCUUCUCUUAAAUGUUUUUUUUUUAUUGCACAACAUUUACCAUGCUAGCAUACUUCUUUUUGUUUUUUCUCAGAUUUGGCAUUUGACAGGUUUUCAGCUACACUGGCAAAAGAGUAUGAAUUAGGAGGCCUCUAAGUACUCAUGUAAUAUUUAACAGCAUAAUAUUUUUAGCAAGAGUAUUGUACCAGCCAGUCAUACAAACAAGUGGGGGGACAGAAUGUGGUGGUGACAAUGGCAGCUCUGUGGAUAAAAUGCACAAUGGGUGUUCUCUGGAUGCCACAACGCCACGGCUCAACAAUGCUGACAGAGAGCAACUGUCAGUCUACAGCACCAACAUUCACCAGAUUAAAUAAAUCCACAUUAUUUCCCUCCUUCUCAUUACAAAAAUCACUAAAAUGGAACAUUGUCAAUGCCUCAGAGAUGCUAAUGCUAAUUUACAGUAGGGGUAUUUACACUGCUUGGGCUUUGGAAGGCAGUUUAAAUCAGAUGAGGACCAACUUCACCCUUUUUUAAAACCAACUGUCACAGCUACUUUUGGCCCAAGUAAUAUUAUGUGGGAUGCUAUUCUCUUCCGGAGAGGGUAACUUUUUUCUGUUCUUGCUGUAAUUCUUUGGAAGCAUCGAGUGACUGCCUCUUUGUCAAGGCAGAAUUAGAGGGAGGGCUGGCUGCUCUUCAUUGCACCCCUUCAGCUGCACAUGAGAUCAGCAGGAGGGGUCCCCCACGGCCAAGUCAGCUCCCAUGCCUCAUCCUGCUGUAUCCUGCUGUCUCCUGGCCCCCGUGGCUUGAUGAGGAGCUUGGAACCAGAACACUUGAUGGCAUUAUUUGAAGGAUGCAUCCUGUGCUUUAAAAUGGGAAGACUCCUUGCCUGUCUGUUUUCAAACCCUUUUAUUAAAUGCUGUAUUUCUGGAGAUGUAAAAGUGUCCUGGAAUUUUAUUCAGGUCCCUGGGGACUGACUCAGAAGUGAUGGGCAGGGAGGAACCUCUGGAAUGCUGAAGUUCUGCCACCUCAGGCACCUUCUUGUAAACCCUGCAACUUCCAUUUAUUAAACUAGCUAAUGUUUUUUACCCCUGCUCUUAUUAGAAGGUUGUUUCAAAGCCUUGCUUUCAGAUGGUUAAAAAAUGGUCCUUAAAUUGUUAAAUGAAAUUUAUUCCUGGCCGGUGUACAUCCUCCAGUAGUGUGCCAAGACUAUCAGUUAGAUUAAAGAGUCCUCUUCUCUGGUUCAUACUCCUGCUCUCAGCACCUCCACUGACUAUCCAUUCUCCCCCAAAAAAGUUAAUUUCCUGUAAUCUUAAUUUUCCUAUAUUUUUUUUUAAAGUUAAUUUCCUCUAGUGAAUGUAGAAAUAUGAAUUCUGUAAAACCCUCACUUUCUGGGCAGAAAAUUAAAUUUGAACAGAAAACGUCCAGGUGUGCUGAAGACAAGGCCUGUCACCUGGCACUCAGCUCCUUUCUCUCCCAGCUCUUUCACCUGGGACAGAGAACUGGGAUAAUCCUCAUUCUUGGGACAGUUCACUCCAUGCUGCUCUGGCUUCUAGUACUGGAAGAGUUAACAGGGCAACAGAAGAGCAGUGUGUUCCUACCUAUGAGGCUGGGAUGCAAAAGAGAGGGUGGCAUCCCUGUCUCCGUAAGGAUCUGACAGGGAAGCAGCCCUGAGCUCUCAGGUAGGAAGUGUCUUGCCUAUUCAAAUUUCUGCCAGCUGACAACCACCUUCAAGCUGCCCAGCCCACAAGUCACAACAAAAAUACCUAUUUUGUUUUUCUUUAAAUUCUUUCCUGUAAAAACUCUCAACUCUUCCUGCUUUUCCACCCCAGUUCAGGGAUAAAACAUUUUCAAAACAGGACAGUGUUGAAAGUUGUCAGCUUCUUGUCUCCACAAUACUCUAGUCCUCUAGCCCAUAACAGAAUUAUGUUCUUUAUUCUCAUGCUUUUACUCAUGCAUUUUUACUCAUGGCAACACUCUUUCCUUUCUUAACCCUUUCCCCUCAUGAAACUGUUAAAAAAAAUGAAGACACAGAUUUUGGUCAAUUGCUGCCCAAUGGUCUUCCCCACAGCCUUUGUAUACAAACUCUCUUCUUGCCUUCCCUGCUUUCAUGUUUAUCCUUGCUUUUUUCCCUUUGGAAAUCCAAUACUGCUAGUCACCUUCCUCUUCCUGUUUCUAGGUGCUGCUGCCUUUGUAAAUCACACUUUCUUCCUUGCUGUGGGUCUAAUCCAAGUGUAUAUUGCCAUCAAUUAUGCUGGGAGUAUACUUAAUAAAUAGGCAAUAAACUGAAGUGGCUCCAGUGGUUCAAAGCUUUUGCAAAGGAACUACAGAUGCAGCAGUGUUGAAGUCAUGCUCAGACAUAAAUUUAAAUCUGCUUUCUUCCAACUCUUCCCUUUACAACCUGUGCCUCUCCUUCUGGGUUCCAUCCAGGUUGGUACACUUAGAGGAGAAUCAACACACAGAAAAAAAGGGUUUGCCAGGCCAGAUCUACCUGCAGGGAGCAGAAUGGGACCUGUGGGCACUGUGAGCCUCCCAGGAUCAUUGCUCUUGUGGCACAUCUGGACCACCAUCUUACCAUGACAGCAGUCAUAUCACUGCACAUCUCUCUGGCCCAAAGAAUGGCUGACCCAAGUGUGUGUAUGCAUAUGUUCAAAACUGCAGCAGCCAACACAUUUUAAAAUAUGUACUAUUAUUUAAAGGAUAUUUCAGGAUGAAAACAGCCAGUUUGGAAAUUCCUAGCUGGGCUUUCUUUGUGGGAGUGUCUGCAUGACAAACUGUCUCCAAACAAAAAAUGUUCAGGCACAGCAAGUGUAAGAUGUGCCACUCACAGACCUUGCUGGCCUGUGUAGCCUCCCCUGAAGCCCCCACAUCUCCUGUCCAUGGGCCCCCAAGGCCCUAAAUCCCUGCCUGAGUGCCAUCAUAGCUGUCUCCAGCUGCACCAUGCUGGUGUGGGGCCACCCACCCUUCUGGUCACUACCCUGACCCACGAGCUGACUCUCUGGCUUGACCUGGACUCGUGCCCAUGGACUUGUGAUCACAGGGCUGUGUCUGACCCUGUUCCCUACCAUGGCAGAGGCAAUACCUGAAAAAAUUAAGUAGGAAGGAAACCACUAUUUAUGGGAAAUGAGAAAAAUAUUCAUGCAACUUCUCAAAAGUACUUGCAGAGGUAUUUUCUAUUGAUGGAGGCUCUACCUGUGCUCACUUACAUACACACUUAAAAGUUAAUCCUGCGUGCAGAGACUGUGUGAACAACCAGAGCCAACAUAAUCAGCUCAAUCAAUUCAGAAGGGCUAUGAGGAUGGUAAUCAGGCAGUGUUUUAAUUGUUUGUUUUCCAAUAUGCUGUACAACUGAUCUCCUCAAUGCCCCUCUCAUCUGUUGUGCAGAUGCAAUCACGUGCACAGUAGUGCAGGGCUUUCUACAAGGCUACAUCCAGAAGGAUUUCCCAGUUGGAGUUCCUGGUCCUUAAACUCAUAAAUAGAUUAUUGUAUUGUAAAGCACUGAGUCUAUUAAAGACAGGACUCACAACUUUCCCCUGCUACAAUCUAGGCUCACACUUGAACUAGGACCUUAGGCUGUGCUGCUAGGUUGAGCAAUCAUCCAGUCCCCGUCUUAAGCUUCUAUACACAGAUACUUCACAUUUAAUUAUUUCUUCCAACUAUGAAAUAUAAUUUCUUCUUAUGAAAAGGACUACAGAUCACUUUAAACUCAGAAAAGGCAGGUUACUUUCUGUACUUCUACUUAUAUGUCCGUUUCAUUACCGUGGUACAUACAUAAACCC